AAAUUGAAGAGUUUGAUCAUGGCUCAGAUUGAACGCUGGCGGCAGGCCUAACACAUGCAAGUCGAACGGUAGCACAGAGAGCUUGCUCUCGGGUGACGAGUGGCGGACGGGUGAGUAAUGUCUGGGAAACUGCCUGAUGGAGGGGGAUAACUA
rnacentral:rRNA from 3 species